rnacentral:rRNA from 1 species
UCAAAUGACUCUCGGCAACGGAUAUCUCGGCUCUUGCAUCGAUGAAGAACGUAGCGAAAUGCGAUACUUGGUGUGAAUUGCAGAAUCCCGUGAACCAUCGAGUCUUUGAACGCAAGUUGCGCCUGAAGCCAUCAGGUUGAAGGCACGUCUGCCUGGGCGUCACGCAU